CAUGCAAGUCGAACGGCAGCGCGGGGCAACCUGGCGGCGAGUGGCGAACGGGUGAGUAAUAUAUCGGAACGUACCCUGGAGUGGGGGAUAACGUAGCGAAAGUUACGCUAAUACCGCAUACGAUCCAAGGAUGAAAGUGGGGGCUUCGCAAGAACCUCAUGCUCCUGGAGCGGCCGAUAUCUGAUUAGCUAGUUGGUGGGGUAAAGGCCUACCAAGGCAUCGAUCAGUAGCUGGUCUGAGAGGACGACCAGCCACACUGGAACUGAGACACGGUCCAGACUCCUACGGGAGGCAGCAGUGGGGAAUUUUGGACAAUGGGCGAAAGCCUGAUCCAGCAAUGCCGCGUGAGUGAAGAAGGCCUUCGGGUUGUAAAGCUCUUUUGUCAGGGAAGAAACGGUGAGAGCUAAUAUCUUUUGCUAAUGACGGUACCUGAAGAAUAAGCACCGGCUAACUACGUGCCAGCAGCCGCGGUAAUACGUAGGGUGCAAGCGUUAAUCGGAAUUACUGGGCGUAAAGCGUGCGCAGGCGGUUUUGUAAGUCUGUCGUGAAAUCCCCGGGCUCAACCUGGGAAUUGCGAUGGAGACUGCAAGGCUAGAAUCUGGCAGAGGGGGGUAGAAUUCCACGUGUAGCAGUGAAAUGCGUAGAGAUGUGGAGGACACCGAUGGCGAAGGCAGCCCCCUGGGGUCAAGAUUGACGCUCAU
rnacentral:rRNA from 1 species